UGGAGUCUCCAAGAUGGGACAUGAAUGAUGGCUUUUCUUCUUAUAUUAUAGUUCUUAUUGUUCAUGCUAAUUAAUCAUUAAUUAUUGUUUAGGUAUGGAGAAAGUCUUUGGCCCGUGCUUAAUAUUGGCUGCUGCCGUGUACCUACCUCCGCAAAAUAGGUGGGCCAUUAUAGGUGGUGGCCUUCGCAUUUGCAUCCUUAUCUUGAGGCAUAAGAAAAUAGACAUCCAUUUGGAGUGAGUGGAGAUUGGAGACCAAGUCUAUGGCCAAAUUAUUUAUUUUGUAUUUUCUAGUGAAUUAUUGCCUGAUGGUUUUUUGGGGUUAAUUUCAAGUUUUAUGUUCAAAUAGCAGUAGGUUGUUUUGCUAAGGUUUAUUAAAGCUAGUUUUAGCCCUUUUGUUUAUCUUAGGCCAUGGCUUGUACUUCAAAACAUAAGUUGUUUGGUGGCUUUGAGGACAUCUCUAAACCUUCAAGGCAUAUUAUGCUUUAGCUUAAAGAUAGAUCAGCUAGGAACGUGCA
rnacentral:lncRNA from 1 species